rnacentral:SRP_RNA from 2 species
GCUGGGUGCAGUGGCGGGCGCCUGUAAUCCCAGCUACUCGGGAGGCUGAGGCAGGAGAAUUGCUUGAACCUGGGCGGCAGAGGUUGCAGUGUGCCAAGAUCGUGCCACUGCACUCCAGCCUGGGUGACAGAGUGAGACUCUGUCUCAA